rnacentral:rRNA from 1 species
UGCGUAGGUGGCCUUUUAAGUUGGAUGUGAAAUACCCGGGCUUAACUUGGGGGGUGCAUCUAAUACUGGGAGGCUAGAGUGCAGGAGAGGGAAGCGGAAUUCCUAGUGUAGCGGUGAAAUGCGUAGAUAUUAGGAGGAACACCAGUGGCGAAGGCGGCUUUCUGGACUGUAACUGACACUGAGGCACGAAAGCGUGGGGAGCAAACA